GUGGGGAAUUUUGGACAAUGGGCGCAAGCCUGAUCCAGCCAUUCCGCGUGCAGGAUGAAGGCCUUCGGGUUGUAAACUGCUUUUGUACGGAACGAAACGGUCCGGGUUAAUACCCUGGGCUAAUGACGGUACCGUAAGAAUAAGCACCGGCUAACUACGUGCCAGCAGCCGCGGUAAUACGUAGGGUGCAAGCGUUAAUCGGAAUUACUGGGCGUAAAGCGUGCGCAGGCGGUUUUGUAAGACAGGCGUGAAAUCCCCGGGCUCAACCUGGGAAUUGCGCUUGUGACUGCAAGGCUGGAGUGCGGCAGAGGGGGAUGGAAUUCCGCGUGUAGCAGUGAAAUGCGUAGAUAUGCGGAGGAACACCGAUGGCGAAGGCAAUCCCCUGGGCCUGCACUGACGCUCAUGCACGAAAGCGUGGGGAGCAAACAGGAUUAGAUACCCCUGUAGUCC
rnacentral:rRNA from 1 species